rnacentral:misc_RNA from 1 species
AUAUAAUAUUUCCGUUUCAUUCGUAUAAUAAUAUAGCAUUGUCUUAAAUUUACCGGUCAUACGUUAUCGUCUCAUAUACGUUUUGGUCUCCGGCCGUAUAAUUAUUAUUGUUACGACAAAAUACUCGCGAUGGUAUUAUCUUUUGUUAACGGUGUACUUACAACACAAUGGUUUCUUGUUGUAGCACGUCCAGACGUACGGCGUAAAGUAUUCGAGGAACAUUGGACAAUCGGCACUGUCGUAGCACCAGUCGUGCAUUUUGCAGCAGCUAAAAAUUGUCCGGAAACAACAGAGGAAAACAAUAUGAGUGCAUAUUCGUCGUCGUCUGACGGACAGAUCUAUAUAUCGUGUUUAUAUUAACUUGUCUAUGGGAUCAACAGGUGAUCCAGAGCCCAGGAACCCGCAGUAACAGCCGUAGCCGAGAAUUUUCAAGUGGGCACCCGUAAGUAUCUGCCAUGACCGGGUGGAGGACCGGCACUUCUCUCCGGACACCGUGACUUAUCCGAAGAAAAAUGCCACCCACGGCUGGGUUUGAACCGGCGCCGGUGUGCGUCGCAACAGAAUCCUUAAUCUACUCAGCCUAUCCGUCCCCCUUAUAGUGACACUUUGAUUCUUCCGGAAUAUGAAAUUAUAAAUG